rnacentral:rRNA from 1 species
GGGCCCGCACAAGCGGUGGAGCAUGUGGUUUAAUUCGAUGAUACGCGAGGAACCUUACCAGGGCUUAAAUGUACGUUGCAUGAUUUAGAGAUAGAUCUUUCUUCGGACUACUUACAAGGUGCUGCAUGGUUGUCGUCAGCUCGUGCCGUGAGGUGUCAGGUUAAGUCCUAUAACGAGCGCAACCCCUAUCGUUAGUUGCCAACAGGUUAAGCUGGGAACUCUAACGAGACUGCCGGUGCAAACCGCGAGGAAGGUGGGGAUGACGUCAAAUCAUCACGGCCCUUACGUCCUGGCUACACACGUGCUACAAUGGCCGGUACAGAGAGCAGCCACUACGCGAGUAGGAG